ACACUCCUACGGGAGGCAGCAGUGGGGAAUAUUAGACAAUGGGCGCAAGCCUGAUCCAGCCAUGCCGCGUGAGUGAUGAAGGCCCUAGGGUUGUAAAGCUCUUUCACCGGUGAAGAUAAUGACGGUAACCGGAGAAGAAGCCCCGGCUAACUUCGUGCCAGCAGCCGCGGUAAUACGAAGGGGGCUAGCGUUGUUCGGAUUUACUGGGCGUAAAGCGCACGUAGGCGGACUAUUAAGUCAGGGGUGAAAUCCCGGGGCUCAACCCCGGAACUGCCUUUGAUACUGGUAGUCUUGAGUUCGAGAGAGGUGAGUGGAAUUCCGAGUGUAGAGGUGAAAUUCGUAGAUAUUCGGAGGAACACCAGUGGCGAAGGCGGCUCACUGGCUCGAUACUGACGCUGAGGUGCGAAAGCGUGGGGAGCAAACAGGAUUAGAUACCCGGGUAGUCCCAUG
rnacentral:rRNA from 1 species